UCGCCGGGACGGCCCGGCGAUCCGAUACUCAACGGCCGGGACGACCUGG
rnacentral:ncRNA from 1 species